rnacentral:rRNA from 1 species
GACGAACGCUGGAGGCGUGCUUAACACAUGCAAGUCGAACGAUGAAGUGGAGCUUGCUCCACGGAUUAGUGGCGAACGGGUGAGUAACACGUGAAUAACCUGCCCUCAAUUUCGGAAUAACCCAGGGAAACCUGGGCUAAUACCGGAUAAGUAAACCUGUGACAUCACAUGGUUUUGGAAAGUUUUUCGAUUGAGGAUGGAUUCGCGGCCUAUCAGCUUGUUGGUGAGGUAAUGGCUCACCAAGGCGACGACGGGUAGCCGGCCUGAGAGGGUGAACGGCCACACUGGGACUGAGACACGGCCCAGACUCCUACGGGAGGCAGCAGUGGGGAAUAUUGCGCAAUGGACGAAAGUCUGACGCAGCGACGCCUCGUGAGGGACGAAGGUCUUCGGAUUGUAAACCUCUUUCAGCAGGGACGAAGCGAAAGUGACGGUACCUGCAGAAGAAGCACCGGCUAACUAUGG